CGUAGGGGUGAACCAUCCCAUCGCCCCUCCUCGCUGUGCCCCAGGGCCCAGCACAUGUCACACACAGAAGGUACUCAAUAUUUGCUGAACAAAUGCAAUAGAUAAAUGGAGAGAGAGGCUCAGCCAGGCUAGGCUGGGUGGGCUGGUUUCAUUCUGACCAAUUAUCUCUCCUGCCUUGCCAUGCACUUUAUGAUUUUCCUGCCCUUUCGUUAAGUAGCCGCACACCCUAAGUGGCCGAGCAUGUGACCAGUCAAGGACAAUGUAGGGAGAGGCAUGAGGGAAGGGAAGGGGGAAAUGCCAGGCUCCGGUGCCCCAUCCCCAGCAAGCACAGUGGGGAUGACCGAAGGUGGGGCAGAGAAUAGGCACUACCUGGGGCCUCUCACACCCAUUCGUGAGUUCGGCAAACGGAUCUUACUGAGCAUGAACCACACGGCAGUCACUGCGGAGGAAGUGGAGCGGGAAGCUGGACAGAAAGCCCUGCCUUCCUGCAACCCGUAUUCUGUGGGGAGAGACGGCCAAGGGCCAGAGACAGAUAGAAACAAAUCUUUCCAAACCUGAAGCUAGCUGAUAAAGGAACGCCCAGAUUUUCAUCACCUGUCGUUGAUGCCUAGCGAGGGUCAGGUGUGGAAGUCUUCACAUAUAGGUCCCUGCAGCUCCAUUCCUGGGGUCCGUUGUUUCUCUCUCUGGUCCUAACAAGCAAGAUGUCAGAGGUAACGCCACGGAAAGGGUCUUUCAUCUCUGUCAAAAGUACAUGUAAUUUUUAAGAAACCAAUUAAAAAAAAAUCUGCCUUUCCUCUUUA